rnacentral:lncRNA from 1 species
GAAAGGGAAACAGAGGCAGGGCCAUUGAGAGCUCGCAGCAGUUUCUGAAGUAACGGUCUCAUGGCCUCGGCUUCCAUCUAUGAAGCCUGCUCUCUUUCUGUGGCUCCCUUUACUUUUUUAAUGAACUUACGCGGUUCGGCGAACUGUUGAAACGGUUGCUUUUCUUUCUCACACCCUCUCAUGUGUUUUCUUUCCUAUUCUAUCCCUACCUGGCUUGUGUGAAAAAUACAUCAGGCUAACUGUCAGAAGUCUACGGAGCAAAUGAAGAAAGUCCCCACUAUCAUUCUUUCUGUCUCAUAUAAAGGAGUCAAAUUUAUUGAUGCGGCAAAUAAGGUAGGUGCCCAACCUCUCUUUGGCCCAAGUUGCUGACAUAGUCCUGAGUGUGGGAAUAUAAAAUCCCGGC